rnacentral:rRNA from 1 species
UUCCAUUGGAGAGUUUGAUCCUGGCUCAGGACGAACGCUGGCGGCGUGCUUAACACAUGCAAGUCGAACGGAAAGGCCCUGCUUUUGUGGGGUGCUCGAGUGGCGAACGGGUGAGUAACACGUGAGUAACCUGCCCUUGACUUUGGGAUAACUUCAGGAAACUGGGGCUAAUACCGGAUAGGAGCUCCUGCUGCAUGGUGGGGGUUGGAAAGUUUCGGCGGUUGGGGAUGGACUCGCGGCUUAUCAGCUUGUUGGUGGGGUAGUGGCUUACCAAGGCUUUGACGGGUAGCCGGCCUGAGAGGGUGACCGGCCACAUUGGGACUGAGAUACGGCCCAGACUCCUACGGGAGGCAGCAGUGGGGAAUAUUGCACAAUGGGCGGAAGCCUGAUGCAGCAACGCCGCGUGCGGGAUGACGGCCUUCGGGUUGUAAACCGCUUUCGCCUGUGACGAAGCGUGAGUGACGGUAAUGGGUAAAGAAGCACCGGCUAACUACGUGCCAGCAGCCGCGGUGAUACGUAGGGUGCGAGCGUUGUCCGGAUUUAUUGGGCGUAAAGGGCUCGUAGGUGGUUGAUCGCGUCGGAAGUGUAAUCUUGGGGCUUAACCCUGAGCGUGCUUUCGAUACGGGUUGACUUGAGGAAGGUAGGGGAGAAUGGAAUUCCUGGUGGAGCGGUGGAAUGCGCAGAUAUCAGGAGGAACACCAGUGGCGAAGGCGGUUCUCUGGGCCUUUCCUGACGCUGAGGAGCGAAAGCGUGGGGAGCGAACAGGCUUAGAUACCCUGGUAGUCCACGCUGUAAACGGUGGGUACUAGGUGUGGGGUCCAUUCCACGGGUUCCGUGCCGUAGCUAACGCUUUAAGUACCCCGCCUGGGGAGUACGGCCGCAAGGCUAAAACUCAAAGGAAUUGACGGGGCCCCGCACAAGCGGCGGAGCAUGCGGAUUAAUUCGAUGCAACGCGUAGAACCUUACCUGGGUUUGACAUGGAUCGGGAGUGCUCAGAGAUGGGUGUGCCUCUUUUGGGGUCGGUUCACAGGUGGUGCAUGGCUGUCGUCAGCUCGUGUCGUGAGAUGUUGGGUUAAGUCCCGCAACGAGCGCAACCCUUGUUCACUGUUGCCAGCACGUUAUGGUGGGGACUCAGUGGAGACCGCCGGGGUCAACUCGGAGGAAGGUGGGGAUGACGUCAAGUCAUCAUGCCCCUUAUGUCCAGGGCUUCACGCAUGCUACAAUGGCUGGUACAGAGAGUGGCGAGCCUGUGAGGGUGAGCGAAUCUCGGAAAGCCGGUCUCAGUUCGGAUUGGGGUCUGCAACUCGACCUCAUGAAGUCGGAGUCGCUAGUAAUCGCAGAUCAGCAACGCUGCGGUGAAUACGUUCCCGGGGCUUGUACACACCGCCCGUCAAGUCAUGAAAGUUGGUAACACCCGAAGCCGGUGGCCUAACCGUUGUGGGGGAGCCGUCGAAGGUGGGACUGGUGAUUAGGACUAAGUCGUAACAAGGUAGCCGUACCGGAAGGUGCGGCUGGAUCACCUCCUUUCU